UACGAAGGGGACUAGCGUUGUUCGGAUUUACUGGGCGUAAAGCGCGCGUAGGCGGAUCGCUAAGUCAGGGGUGAAAUCCCAGGGCUCAACCCUGGAACUGCCUUUGAUACUGACGAUCUGGAGAUCGGGAGAGGUUGGUGGAAUUCCGAGUGUAGAGGUGAAAUUCGUAGAUAUUCGUAAGAACACCAGUGGCGAAGGCGACUUUCUGGCUCGAUACUGACGCUAAGGCGCGAAAGCGUGGGGAGCAAACAGG
rnacentral:rRNA from 1 species